rnacentral:rRNA from 1 species
CAGCCGCCGCGGUAAAACGAAGGGUGCAAGCGUUACUCGGAAUUACUGGGCGUAAAGCGUGCGUAGGUGGUGGUUUAAGUCCGUUGUGAAAGCCCUGGGCUCAACCUGGGAAUUGCAGUGGAUACUGGGUCACUAGAGUGUGGUAGAGGAUAGUGGUAUUUCCGGUGUAGCAGUGAAAUGCGUAGAGAUCGGAAGGAACAUCUGUGGCGAAGGCGACUAUCUGGGCCAACACUGACACUGAGGCACGAAAGCGUGGGGAGCAAACAGGAUUAGAGACCCCUGUAGUCCCUGUCUCUUAUAC